rnacentral:pre_miRNA from 1 species
AUUAAGUUUACUUUUUAGUUUUUAGAUAUAAUGUUUUGACUUUUCGUCUUAUUUAAAAUAUUUGUGUGAUUAAUAUUUGCAUCGUUACCCGAUGGUAAAGCAUGAAUAGUACUUUUUACGUGACUAAUUUUUUUAUGUUUUUGUACAAUUUUUUUAAAUAAGAUGAAUGGUUAAAGCGUUGAACAUAGAAAUCAAAAAAUAAGGUUAUU